AUUGAACGCUGGCGGCAGGCUUAACACAUGCAAGUCGAGCGGGGUGAUGGUGCUUGCACUAUCACUUAGCGGCGGACGGGUGAGUAAUGCUUAGGAAUCUGCCUAUUAGUGGGGGACAACAUCUCGAAAGGGAUGCUAAUACCGCAUACGUCCUACGGGAGAAAGCAGGGGAUCACUUGUGACCUUGCGCUAAUAGAUGAGCCUAAGUCGGAUUAGCUAGUUGGUGGGGUAAAGGCCUACCAAGGCGACGAUCUGUAGCGGGUCUGAGAGGAUGAACCGCCACACUGGGACUGAGACGCGGCCCAGACUCCUACGGGAGGCAGCAGUGGGGAAUACUGGACAAUGGGGGGAACCCUGAUCCAGCCAUGCCGCGUGUGUGAAGAAGGCCUUAUGGUUGUAAAGCACUUUAAGCGAGGAGGAGGCUCUUUUGGUUAAUACCCAAGAUGAGUGGACGUUACUCGCAGAAUAAGCACCGGCUAACUCUGUGCCAGCCGCCGCGGUAA
rnacentral:rRNA from 1 species